GGGUGCUUAGCUCAGUUGGUAGAGCAGCUCCCUUACACGGAGCGGGUCGGCGGUUCGAGCCCGUCAGCACCCACCA
rnacentral:tRNA from 1 species